UACGGAGGGUCCAAGCGUUAUCCGGAAUCAUUGGGUUUAAAGGGUUCGCAGGCGGUUUAAUAAGUCAGUGGUGAAAUCUCUCGGCUCAGCCGAGAAACUGCCAUUGAUACUGUUAGACUUGAAUACAGUUGGAGUAGGCGGAAUGUGUAGUGUAGCGGUGAAAUGCUUAGAUAUUACACAGAACACCGAUAGCGAAGGCAGCUUACUAAACUGUGAUUGGCGCUCAUGAACGGAAGCGUGGGGAGCAAACAGG
rnacentral:rRNA from 1 species